CUGUAUGAAAUGACAAAUGAAAUUCAUGCUGCACUGAUCUGAGCCAGAAGCAUCUCACAGGCCUGAUUAUUAUCAGACGGAUGAGCCAAACAGUUUGUGUAUGUCUGCAUGCGGCUGUCUGUCUGACGGAAAGCAAACAGUGUCUGCCAGAAUUCUGCUGUAAAACAGGCUUAAAGUUAAGGAUGUUAGAAGAGACAGAAAUAGAGCGACAGGUCCAACACCUACUGUACAUGAAACACAAUCCUGCCUGCAAAUUUGGAGGAAAAGGAAGUUGAUGUUUGUCCUGAAGAGACAGUAGCAGGUAGCUUAUUUAACAGCAGAUUGUGUGUGUGUGCAUGUGUGUGUGUGAAAAGGAGGUGAGAAACACCAGCCUGUCAUCACUCUAAUUAUCAUCCAAAGAGAGAGAGACACUAUAAAAAGCUAAGGUCACGGCACACGCUAUGGCAGAGUGCUGAUCAGAAGCAGAGGAAUUUGACAAAUGGAGUUGAGCGUGAUGCUGAUGGCUGAUGAUAGGCCUGCUCUGUGUCUGCAUGUGUUUGAGGAUGAACAGAGCAGUCACUGCGUAAAGCUGUGGAGCACACAACAGUGUUCAGCAUCUUGGCCACUGAUGGAUCAAAACCUCCCGGGUGAGACGUUUGGGGGUCACAGCCAUCUGUGGACUGCUGACUGGACAAUUUCCAUGUCACAUGGUUAAAGAAAAAAGAAAAGAUGACAGUAACCUGUGCUCAAUGUCCUCAUUUUUUGUGUGAUUCUGUAAGGAUCAAUAAGCGAGCGUGUGCUGGAGGUUGGCGGUGUCAGCAGUCUAGAAGACGUCUGCCAGCUGGGGCGAAGAUGAAACCAAACUGCACACUGGCUGCAUAUAAAUCACAUACACUUCAUUCCCAUCCUUUCAUUGCUUCACACACUUUCAUUUGUUCUUUGACUUGCUCCCUCACAGUGUGUUUCUGACUCUUUCUAAAUCUCUCUCUCUUGAGAUUAUUCCAGUUGGCCCUCAGGGUUUUGAGGGAGAGAGGGAGAGACAUGCUCGAGCCUGAGAGACACAAAAAUACAACAAACAAACACACAUUCAACACAAUCACAGUAACAAUGCCCAGAAAAGAGCUAGUCUAAAAGAAAGAAAGUGUGCCAGUUCCAAAGCCUGCCUACAUCAAGGCUGCUCCAAAAGGUUACAAACUUUCUAAAAUCCAAGAUGGUGUAUUAUACAAGAGAAAUAAGCUAUAAAUUAAAACUUUUCAUUCUCAUGCUUUUUAGAGUAAAACACUUGUUAGCUUAGCAACAUGCUAACAUGUAACAAUAGCUAACUAUUAAUUAAUUAUGAUUUAAGUCUCAUUAUUUCAUUAAAGUUGCUCUGUGGGGUGCUAUCAAAAAAUGUGUUUGUUUGAACAUCCCAACCAUUUUUGACAUGUACUAAUCAGACGCCAAGCAAUGCCACUACACACAAUAAAAAGUAUGUUUACCAAAGUUAAUCAGAGUUUUUUCCUAACCAAAUAUGAUGGCAAUGCGCAACGAGCAAACAGGGAUUCUACUUUAGGAAUGGUCCCUAUAUUUCUGUGACAUUGUGGCUGAGAGCUCAAUUAUUAUCUCAUGUACUUAUGCAUUUGGAAAAUAUUAAAAUUAUUUGAGUUUGAAUAUCAUUUUUGCAUGACUUUAACUCUUCCCUGCCAGCGUUUUUUUUUUUUUUUUUUUUUUGCCAACCACCGCCAACAUUUUCGAUCAUUUUCACAAAAUUUUCAUGGCCCCCAGAUUUUUUGUUGUAUGAAUAUAUGAACAUACAAUAUAUCAAAAGAAAGAACAGAGCCUCUGCUUUAAAAAAGAAAGUACAGUACUAUACCUCUUCCCAGACGGGAUUUAAACUUUGUCGGCUGAAACGCAAGUUUGGUUUGAAGACGAAAAAUGUACCAAGCACAAUGUUCUCUCAUCAUUCCUGAUUUCUAACACACACUCACAGCGUUCGGUUGGUCUUGCGGUUGUCAGAGCAGAAACAAAAGUUGCUCUCUGUAUGUUUUUCCACCGUCUCCGGUAGCGUUUAUAUGUAAAUUGCGUAAGCUUAUUUUGUCCAUCAGAUCGAAAGAUCUGAAAAAGCCCAUACAUUUUACCGCCCAUAGACCCUCCCAUCGAAGAAAUCUGUACAGAAGUGGUUGAAAGUGGACAAAAGAGACCAAGUGUAAACGGGUAUGUGUCUGCCUCGUCCACUUGUAAUCCGAUCAACCAAAAUGCAUCAUAAUACCAGGUGAAAACAGGGCCAAAAUAUCAAUACAUCAUACCUAACCUUACACUAUCAAAAGCAACUGAAGUCAAGCAUAUUUUAUACAAUAUGUGCAGACAGAAAAAGUGAUCUAGAGACUAUUUUACAUGAAAUUGCACUCAGUGUUACAUUAUUGCCCUUGUUGUUCAAUGAGGGUCUUCUGAAGUGAGGGGUUUCCUCAGGAAGUGUACGGUUGUGGAUCUGAUCUCCACCACUUGUGAAUUCUCUUUAACAACGUAGUUCAGUGAAGAGGAACGCAAACUCUCAGUGACCCAAAUCUGUUUGCUCUCUCAGAGGUCACCAGGGCAAGGAGUGUGUCUUACAAAAAAACACACCAUUACUAUGCUAGAUUGUUCUGGAUAGUUAGGGCAUUGCUAGUCUGUUGGUGGUUAACACGGGGCGGUUACUUUAGCAAUAUUUCAGUGAAAUUUCACGGGCAAAAGUAGGUACAUUGUCCAUUGUCAAUAGCGUAGAGAAAAUUUUCAAACAAAGCAGCUUUCCGUUUGUCAGUGAAGUGAAUUCAAGUAAACAACUUGAAAAUGAAUGAAAUCUGCGCGCAGAAUUUUUUCAUCCUCAUGCUUAAUCGAAAUUAAACCGUACGCAAUUUGGCAAAUGCUGCAAUUUUUUUAUGCACAGCUUCUCAGUGAAGCACAGCUCUGUGAUCAGUAGUAAAUGCUGCUCCAUCUGAAAGCCAGAGGGCGCUUAUAUUUGGAUAAAAAUGGCGCUCUUCGUGUAAUAUUGGUUAACUAUAUUAAAUUAUAUAAAUAUAAAACAUACAGGGGCAUUUUGCCCAAUAUCUUGAAUUCUGGGGGCAUUUUAAUAGACUAAAUCACGCAGUGAAAUCGUGCACUAAAUAUGCACGCGCACUAGCGUGUGUGUCUAACGUACUAGGCUACGUCACGUAGUGCAUGCGUGCACUCAAUGUGUGUAUUUUUGUUUGGGAUUUGUUUGGGACAGUGAGGGACGUACUCGGUAAUGUCAGAUCAUUAAAUCAACAAUUACAAUAUCAUAGACGAUAUACGCACGGCCUACAGCACUGGCCCGAUCGGGCAAGUGACAGU